AUCAAACUAUCUGAAGGAGUCAGUAAAGGAAACCUCUGGGGAUUCUGACAGCUUAUUGUCAUAACAGAUAUGGAAGGCAUUAUAAAGUGAGAUAGUGUUGGGUGCUGGUCAGAAGAGGGAUCAAGACCAUCCCAAGCCACUGACUGGGAGAAAGAAAGCAGCUGCUGGAGAUCAGACGCCAAUUCGGAGUCACCUCCUGCCGCACCCUUGACCAUGACCUCACCCUGCCCCUAUCACCAAACCAUCAUCUCCCAGACCAUACAUAACCUUAUUACCUCAGGAGAUUUCCCACCUACAGCUUCCAAUCUCAUAGUUCAGGAACCCCGCACUGCCCAAUUCUACCUCCUACCCAAGACCCAUAAGCCUGACUACCUUGGCCGACCCAUCGUCCCAGCCUGCUCCUGUCCCACCAAAUUCAUCUCCACCUACCUCAAUACUAUCCUAUUCCCCCAGUCCAGGAACUCCCACAUACGUUUGGGACACCACACACGCCCUCCACCUCUUCCAAGACUUGCGUUUCCCUGACCCCCAACGCUUCAUCUUCACCAUGGACAUCCAGUCCCUGUACACAUCCAUCCGCAUGACCA